CCUGAGAUACUCUCCAAAGCAGACAAUAAUUUUUUCCUUGUUGGGGAAUAAGCCUUCUCAUCCCAUUUCUGCUGAGCACUCAGAUCUGUGUGCCAUUCAAGUACUUCCGAAAGAUAGAUUUGUACCAUUUCAUUCUGCAGGUUUCCAGAGAUUCCAUUUUCAUUCAUUGCAAGCAUAAGUUCUAAAUAUCUGCCCUGCAUGCUUGGAGCAUGCUGCUUCAGAUAAGAGUUGACCAAGUCUGCAGGGAUAUUCCCAGACAAGAAAAGCUCAAUAGUUUGCGUUGGACAGCUUUCAAGAACAAGCAUUGAGAACUCCAGGACAAGCAUGGGUUCCGUUCCACAGAGAGGCUUAAGAUAUUCAAUAAUUGAUUCAGGUUUGAACUUUGAGUUAAGCUCAGUUUGUGCUCGGCUUGAUUUUGACUCUUCAACUAAUUGAUGCAAGAGCUUAAGAGAUUCUCGGUGCAUGGAGUUGCACUUAUAAAGUUCCAAUAAAGCAGUAUAAUGAUUCUGUUUUUGAAGAAUCUCCUCACAUAUCUUUAGGUCACAGUAGUUAAGACCUCUAAGUAAUUCUAAAGCUGCCGAAGAUUGUCCAGUAAGAAGAAGAGCUUGAAGUAGUGCCGUAUCCAGUAUUGACGCCAUUUCCCUGGCAACUGAGUUAAUGGAAAUUGUACCACGCCCCUUGUUGGAUUUCUUAGACCUACUUGAGUCAUACGGUCCAAAAUUCUCUCCAACAGCAUCAAAAACAACUUCUUCUGUUCCCUCAGAAGUGGCUUUUUCAAUUAUACUGAAUCUCUUUUUCUGCAAGAACUUAAUGAGAGCCAUGAGAGUAUUAUGGCUCAUUUUCUUGGAUUCAAGGGCAGCAUGCUCAUCAA
rnacentral:misc_RNA from 1 species